rnacentral:rRNA from 1 species
AUGCAAGAAACCUCACUGCUAGUAGCAAAAAUCAACGACAGUUGCGGCACUGCCUCGUCCCUAUCCAUCCCAAAAUGUGCUACAGAAAACGAGAUGCUGGAAACAGCAGUCGCAUUUGCUGGAACUGACGGCUAUGGUGUUGCCACCAGCAAGACGAGCUGCUGGAAAUGGCGGUCAAAUUUGCUGGAACCGGUGACUGCGUAUGUUGGGACCGGCAAAAUCAAAUGUUUGAACCAUGGUUGCCAAAAGCUACUACCGGUGAAAAAAUUGCUACAACCGACGAAUCAAAAAAUACUACUAUCAAAAAGGAAUUGCUGCAACCGGCAAAAUCAAAAGCUGGAACCAGCAACGCAGGAAGCUACUGUCGGUGAUUAG